rnacentral:rRNA from 1 species
UACGUAGGGACCAAGCGUUGUUCGGAUUCAUUGGGCGUAAAGGGUGCGUAGGCGGUCGCGCAAGUCGGAUGUGAAAUCUCAGGGCUCAACCCUGAAACUGCAUUCGAUACUGCGUGGCUCGAGUGCUGGAGAGGAGACUGGAAUUUACGGUGUAGCAGUGAAAUGCGUAGAUAUCGUAAGGAAGACCAGUGGCGAAGGCGAGUCUCUGGACAGCAACUGACGCUGAGGCACGAAGGCCAGGGGAGCAAACGGG